CCUCUUCCCUUCUCCUCCCCAAUGCCCCACACAUCCUCUCCUCUGUUUCCACCUGCGGGAAACAGAGGUGCUGCAGCCCUAGCUGCAGCUGCUGCCUCUCUCUCUCUCCUCUCCAUCUUCCCUCUCUUCUUCUUCUUCUUCUUCUUCUUUUCUUCUCUUCUCCCUCUUCUUCCUAAUCUCUUCUUUUCCCUCUUCUUCUUCUUUUCUUCUCUUCUCCCACAACUUAUCUUCUUCUUCUCCCCACGCCCCACCGCUCCUCUCUCUG
rnacentral:lncRNA from 1 species